ACGGGAAAGGAUACUCGUAUCAAAGGGAAACUUUAAGGUAAACUAAAAAUCAGGUACCAGAUGGAAGACCAAGCUACUCAAAGAACCGAACAUACAUGAACGCCUACUAAGAGCUUAAGGUUAAAAGGAUGAAUGUGUUCGGUUCAAGGCUUGAUCGCGAAAUCCGUAGAAUAAUGUCGGGAGGAAAUGAGGAUGAUACGGUACCCCUUAUCAAUGAGGAGAUACGUCAAAAGAUUUUUUGAAGAGGUCGGUAAAGCAUUAGAAGCUAGUCUACCCGUGUUUAUGGAGAGACUACAAACUAACAUUCUGACCCGUUGAAGAAAGGAUCAACGAGCUAAAGGAGAGCCUUACCCAAGAAAAGGAUAAGGCUAAAGAAAAGAAAGCUUGUCCUUACGACAAGUUUAUGGCAUAUAAACCUUCGACUUAUAAUGGAAAGGCAGAUCCAAUCGCUUGUCAAAGGUGGAUAAGCGAUAUUAAAGGUGUUUUUGAACGAACUCACUACGACUCGAGUGAUUUUGUGGCUUACGGGACCGACCAAUUAAGGGCCUAAGCCAAGGAUGGGUGGGAUAACAUCAGAAAUGAAAAGGGGAUUGAAGCUACAUGGACUAUGACUUAGGAGGAAUUUAACGCACCCUUCCUCAAACACCAUAGUCCUAAAGCAAUGAUCAAUAAGAUCAAUAUGAUAUGUUUAAGCCAUUUGAGUGUUGAAUACAUUAAGUUCACGAUCGCAUAAAAGAUGAAAUUCACUAUUAUCACCAUCCUCAUCAACUAGAGGAUAACUAUUUUCGUUUCAUACAAUAUUAUAUAAGAACUUUUAGUUACGAAUAAUCAUAGUAUAUAAAAAUUACGUAAGAUA
rnacentral:lncRNA from 1 species